rnacentral:rRNA from 1 species
AACGCUAGCUACAGGCUUAACACAUGCAAGUCGAGGGGAAACGACAUCGAAAGCUUGCUUUUGAUGGGCGUCGACCGGCGCACGGGUGAGUAACGCGUAUCCAACCUGCCCACCACUUGGGGAUAACCUUGCGAAAGUAAGACUAAUACCCGAUGAUAUCUCUAGACGACAUCUGAAAGGGAUUAAAGAUUUAUCGGUGAUGGAUGGGGAUGCGUCUGAUUAGCUUGUUGGCGGGGUAACGGCCCACCAAGGCAACGAUCAGUAGGGGUUCUGAGAGGAAGGUCCCCCACAUUGGAACUGAGACACGGUCCAAACUCCUACGGGAGGCAGCAGUGAGGAAUAUUGGUCAAUGGGCGAGAGCCUGAACCAGCCAAGUAGCGUGCAGGAUGACGGCCCUAUGGGUUGUAAACUGCUUUUAUAAGGGAAUAAAGUGAGUCUCGUGAGACUUUUUGCAUGUACCUUAUGAAUAAGGACCGGCUAAUUCCGUGCCAGCAGCCGCGGUAAUACGGAAGGUCCGGGCGUUAUCCGGAUUUAUUGGGUUUAAAGGGAGCGUAGGCCGGAGAUUAAGCGUGUUGUGAAAUGUAGGCGCUCAACGUCUGCACUGCAGCGCGAACUGGUUUCCUUGAGUACGCACAAAGUGGGCGGAAUUCGUGGUGUAGCGGUGAAAUGCUUAGAUAUCACGAAGAACUCCGAUUG